CCUACGGGGGGCUGCAGUCGAGAAUCUUCGGCAAUGGGCGCAAGCCUGACCGAGCGACGCCGCGUGCGAGAUGAAGGCCUUCGGGUUGUAAAUCGCUGUCAGAGGGGAGGAAAUGCCGGUGGGUUCUCCCAUCGGUUUGACCUAUCCUCAGAGGAAGGACGGGCUAAGUUCGUGCCAGCAGCCGCGGUAAGACGAACCGUCCAAACGAUUGUCGGUAUCACUGGGCUUGAAGGGUCGGCAAGCGGGCCGUGAAAGCCCUCAGCUCAACUGAGGAAUUGCGCCCAAAACUGCCGGACUUGAGGGAGACAUAGGUGAGCGGAACUUAGGGUGGAGCGGUGAAAUGCGUUGAGAUCCUAAGGAACACCAGUAGCGAAAGCGGCUCACUGGGUCUCUUCUGACGCUGAUGCACGAAAGCUAGGGGAGCGAAGAGGAUUAGAUACCCUGGUAGUC
rnacentral:rRNA from 1 species